UAGCAAGCUGACAUUGAAUAGAUAUUGAUUUUCCAUCUGAAUCAUCAGAAUGGUCGACAUUGAAAUAUUGAUGCAAAAUAGAUGUUGAAUCACCAUUGUUAAACCGAUGUAACCCGACCUAAAAUAAAGUUGACAGCAAUGAUAUUGAAACAACAUUGAUUCAUGGUCGUCCUUAUUAUGAUUGAUGUAUCAUUGAUAUUUGGUAAUUACGUAUGAUCGAAAGGCCAUCGAUAUAUAGUUUACCGGGAAAGAUUGAAGUUAUCGGUCGUUGCUGAACGGGACAAGACAAAGAGUGGCGCACGCUCGGAUCCAGGAACAAUUACAGACCUUCCACGACCAUGACGAGAGCUCCAGCUCUGACUUUCCUGGCCCAUCACAAUCAUAACGACCUAAAAGCCCAGUAGGACCGAUGGCCAGAGAUGGAGGAGGAGGGAGACAGACGCAGCAGAGGUCGGGGACCUUGAUUAGGAAGACUCCAACAGAACGUCCUGCUAACUGUAAGGAUACGAUGCCCUCGCUCAACAGCCUGGUGGGAAUCGGAUGGAUGAUCUUGUUUUUACACAAGCUGUGCAGAAAUGGCUAUGCGCCGGACAGAACUGGAGGUGCCAGUCGCGGUGACAGUAAUUAAAAUAAUUCAAAUAAUAAACAUCUUUCUUAAUAAACAUCUUGUGUUUCAUAUUUAUUAUUUUAUAUUAUUAAAAUGUGGAUCCUGGCUGUAGAUAAAGCAGGAUAUAUGAGCCAGAUAAUUCUGGUAGCCUUUCUAUUGAAAUAACAUUGAAAGCUCAUUGAUUUUUAGUUACGUCGAAAUUUCAAUGUUGUUUCAAUAUAGGCACGUAUCGAAAUACAGUUGAAGUUGCGUGGAUCCAUAGUUACAAAAUCAACAUAGUUUCAAUGUUAGUCGAGGGUGCAAACUGAUGCUAAAUCAACAUCGACAUCUGAUGUUGUUUCAAUGGUUUAGCGUCGGCAAUGGAAUGCUGAUUCUACAUCGAUUCAAUGUAAGCUUGC